rnacentral:rRNA from 1 species
GAUAUUGCACAAUGGGGGAAACCCUGAUGCAGCGACGCCGCGUGAGUGAAGACGGCCUNCGGGUUNUNAAGCUCUGUCAACGGGGNCGAAAAUGACGGUACCCGUGGAGGAAGCCACGGCUAACUACGUGCCAGCAGCCGCGGUAAUACGUAGGUGGCGAGCGUUGUCCGGAAUUACUGGGUGUAAAGGGAGCGUAGGCGGGAAGGUAAGUUGGAUGUGAAAUACCGCAGCUCAACUGCGGGGCUGCAUCCAAAACUAUCUUUCUUGAGUGAAGUAGAGGCAGGCGGAAUUCCUAGUGUAGCGGUGAAAUGCGUAGAUAUUAGGAGGAACACCAGUGGCGAAGGCGGCCUGCUGGGCUUUAACUGACGCUGAGGCUCGAAAGCGUGGGGAGCAAACA